GUGAAGGCUGGAAGAAGAUGUGUGUGAGCUGAUCCUGUGGAUCCAGUCAAUCCAACAGCAUGGAUCAGUGGGAGGAGACACAGGAGGGAGCCCCUCCCUCGAAAAAAAGGAGAGGAGGUAACCAAGACAACCAGAACAAAGCUCAGAGGUGAGAUGAACAUCUGCAACUGUCCAGGACUCUUCUCCAUGUCAGAGCUCAGAACUCACACCAGCAACCUUCAUUCUUCACAGGAACCGACCUGGACCUGGACCUGGACUUGGACCUGGACCUGGACCCAGCUGUGGGUUCUUCAGGAGUGACAAGUCAAAAGACUUAACUCUUCACUUCAAGUCCAUCAGUUCAUCAGUGAAACAAGGUCAACAGGUCACACAGAGAGUCCAGUCUGCAGCAUCCAGCUGUGGAUCCAUGAAGAGUGACCGGUCCAAAAAUUUUCCUCCAGAUUUCAGAACUGAACCAGAACCUUCAGACUCUCAAGGUCAACAGGUCACACAGAGAGUCCAGUCUGCAGCAUCCAGCUGUGGAUCCAUGAAGAGUGACCGGUCCAAAGAUGAACCUCCAGACUUCAGAACUGAACCAGAACCUUCAGACUCUCAGUAAGAACCGGUUUUCAGGAUUGACCUGGAACGCUCGCGGCUCGAACACAAAAUAGAGCAGACGCCGAAACGAUCUGCUGCACCGCGCGGGCCCUCCCCACCGCUCCGCGCCUGGUGUGAACAACGUCAUAGGUCAGUGUUUCUCGACGGUUUUCUCUUAUGUCCCCCUCUACAACUUUCUGCUGCAAGUAUCAUCUGUAUCAUUAGUUACGGUAAUUUGUUCAAGUUAAACGAAUAUCUCUUCAGAAUAUUGUACCUUUACUAUCUGUUACGUCCCUCCUUGGGAAGGAGGAAGAAAGUGUGUAACAUACAAUAAUAAAUAAAUAAAUAACCAGGCAGGGAUUAGAUGGGGACACAGCUGUUUAAUAUGGUGACAGGUGGCAGGUGUCCCAACAUAGACAGAACUACACAACCAAAAGACUAGACGAACUAAUACUAACAGUAACUUAAAUUCUCAGGCUCUAUAGCAAUCAAUAACAAAAUUAAACAGUCAAACAACUACCACUCCAAAGCAAUUACAGAAACAACCAGAGAAAAGUUAAUAGAGAAACAAAACCACAACAAACGAAAGAGGGGGAAACCAAAGGCUUUUUGCAGGCUUGGCCAGGCAGACAGCAGGGGCAGGCUGAGAAUCUAAUUCCCACUCAGGAAUUC
rnacentral:lncRNA from 1 species